UUUUUGAGUCAUUUUAAAUGAAUCUGGAAAAAAAUACGGAUGAGUCCUAGCUGCUGUUAGUUUUCAUUAUGGAAAACCAUGAGGCAUCAUUCCAAAUGUCCCACUAUCUUUUCAAAAUCCUUUUUUUGUGAUUCUUGCCCACUUGGCAUUUUCAUGUGUGUACUGUUAAGUGUAUUAUAGGUGUUAAGUGAGUUCAGCUUGCAUCACGUUUUCUGCCUCUGUCUGUCCUUUCGUGAUGAAGCAGGAGGGGUCCGGGAGAUAGGGCUAAAAAACGGGAGAAACCCAGGAAAAACGGGAGUGUUGGAAGGAUGAAGGUGAAGCGUUUUGUUUCCAUCUCUGGUUCUUUGUGUUGAUCGGCAGCGGUGGUGAAGGAACUCUGACUCAGACUGCCUGAGAUGGCUCUUGCGUCACAAGGGGGGACCUGAUGGAAGAGGAGCUGCAGGAAGGAAGUGAUGUCAUGUGUGGGAUGAUGAAACUGUGGUCUGAAGCAGAAGAAUGGAAACAGCCAGAGAAACGCUCUCUGCUGGAUGUUCUGAUCUGCUGUUGGAAAAAAAGAAAUGGAUCGCAGAGAGGAAGGAGCCAGGUUUUAACAUUUAUCACCAUGUGUGCAACAGAAAAGGAUGGAGGGAUAGAAGAGAAGUUUAGAAAAGAAGACUGAAUCAUGAAAGGAAAAAGGAAGAAAGAGAUCUGUAGGAUGGGAUGUGACAUCUCCUCAGAGGGAGGAUGAAGUUAUCAAAUUAAAAGCAUGAUAUGAAAAGUAAA